rnacentral:RNase_P_RNA from 1 species
AGGUUUGGUACUUGACUCACGGUGCAAUGCUUAAUGCAAAGUGCUGAGUAAAGUCCAUCCACCUUAAGUGCCACUUAUGAAAGUAAGAAUUAGAAAUGGUUGGCAAUGGCUCAGAAACGAAACCACCUCUUUGCUUAAGGGAUGACGGGUGCGACGGUUUUGGUAACAAAACUUAGAUAACCCCCAGACUGCUUUGAGGAAUGGAUGAAACGGUGAAUCCUGGCUGGUGCAAGUCGUAGACGCUAAGUAGAAUGUCAAGACAAACUAUCGCCUCAACAUUGUUUGAGGUUUGGGUUUGACAGAAGAUGGCUUACACCAAACCU